AAAAAGAGAGGAAAGGAAGGUGGUCUAAGGGAUAUAACUGCAUGUAUGUUUGAGUGUGUAGGAUGGAAAUCCAUGUUACUGAACUUUUGUUGAUCAUUGAUCAGUACUGUCUGCAAUCUCACUGUAUGAAUGUUCACUUUACAUGCUAUUUCAAAGAUGAUGAUAAUAUGUAACCUAUUGACUAGUGAUAGCUUACUGUAUUUUUUCCUUGAAAUUCUGUAUUAUUUGUACCCUUUUACUGCUUGGUUUUUUUAAUUUUAUUUCCUUUCUUUUUUUCUCUCUUUAAGUAAAAAAAAAGAUAUUAUGCUAAGUGAAACAACCAUACACAGAGGGACAAAUAUUGUGUGGCCUCCCCAAUACAGGAGUCUUUCAAGUUGGCAUCAUAAAGGCAGAAUCCAUAAUUGGAACCCAAGAGAAACAAAGCGUUGGACACUAGAUGUUUCUGGGAAAAUGUAGAAGCCUCUUACAUUCGUGCCGAGGGGCAGAGUUGGACAAGUUAAUGAUACAGCUUUUCUCUUAUCUAAGCAACUGUUUCACUCAAGCCACCUUGUUGCUAUGGCCCCCACUCACGUCCACAGAGCCGCAGCUCUUGAAUCUUUAUGGAAUAUGAGAAAAUCCUGCCUUUUCUUUGAAGGGCAUAGGGCCACAGAUGUGCAAGCAUUUUCUCAAGAUACAACAGCCGAACUGCAGAUCUAAGCAGUGAUGAGAGGGCUAUGUCAGUACUGACCGUGGGAUUGCAAAGGGUGGUGUCCAGGGAGCUUCCUUCUUGCCAGACUGACAAGAAGAUAAAGAGUAGCAGAAAGUGCAGAAUAUCCAUCUUCCUUCCCCACUCCGAGGACAGGCCGGGCCCAUGGAUAAUUCUUAGAUGGCAUAUUUUGUCCUCGGUCAUCACCCUCAAAAUGUUGCCAGAAAAAGUUGGUUUUUACUUUCAAUAUUAAGUUAAAUCUGAAGUCCAGCUCUUCCCCACAACUUUUCUAAGAAGUUUGCACUGUCAAAGCUCUUGAGUGCAUUUAAAAGAGAUUUCCAAAACAUUUAUCCCCGCUUUGUAGUUUCUUUUACUGCGUGUACUGACUCAGUGACCUUGUCUCAGCAUCCACUUUGGACCCAUGGUGGACUCUCUGGGCUCAACCAUCAAUCCCUUCCCAAUGCUGUGAGAUAUUAUUGCAAAUGUUGCCAAGGACCAUCUUGCUGCCAACCAAUACAUAUUUUAUUUGACUGCAUGGUUCUCUAAUAUUUCUUCUCUUUCUCCAAAUAUUCUUUGCCAAUAUUGGAUGCCAGCAACCCCUGCUUUGCAGAAGCCUGAAUUCCCUCAGGGUUCUGUCCUGGCUUUUUCUUUGUCUCUGCACUCUUCCACAUAUGUGCUUAUGAAUUCCUUUGCCUUUAGGAAUAACUUAUAUGCUAAAGAUUAAUAAAGUGUUUGCCCCAGA